rnacentral:rRNA from 1 species
GACGAACGCUGGCGGCGUGCUUAACACAUGCAAGUCGAACGGUAAGGCCCUUCGGGGUACACGAGUGGCGAACGGGUGAGUAACACGUGGGUGAUCUGCCCUGCACGUCGGGAUAAGCCUGGGAAACUGGGUCUAAUACCGGAUAGGACUACGGACUGCAUGGUCUGGGGUGGAAAGCUUUUGCGGUGCGGGAUGGGCCCGCGGCCUAUCAGCUUGUUGGUGGGGUGAUGGCCUACCAAGGCGACGACGGGUAGCCGGCCUGAGAGGGUGACCGGCCACACUGGGACUGAGAUACGGCCCAGACUCCUACGGGAGGCAGCAGUGGGGAAUAUUGCACAAUGGGCGCAAGCCUGAUGCAGCGACGCCGCGUGAGGGAUGACGGCCUUCGGGUUGUAAACCUCUUUCAGCAUCGACGAAGCGAAAGUGACGGUAGGUGCAGAAGAAGGACCGGCCAACUACGUGCCAGCCGCCGCCGUAA